UAAGGAAUAUUGUUCAAUGGACGCAAGUCUGAACCAGCCAUGCCGCGUGAAGGAUGAAGGUCCUCUGGAUUGUAAACUUCUUUUAUCUGGGACGAAAACGGGAUUUUUAUCUCAAUUGACGGUACCAGAGGAAUAAGCACCGGCUAACUCCGUGCCAGCAGCCGCGGUAAUACGGAGGGGGCGAGCGUUAUCCGGAUUUACUGGGUAUAAAGGGUGCGUAGGUGGGCUUCUAAGUCAGUGGUGAAAUCUCCGAGCUUAACUUGGAAACUGCCGUUGAUACUAUAGGUCUUGAAUUAUCUGGAGGUAAGCGGAAUAUGUCAUGUAGCGGUGAAAUGCUUAGAUAUGACAUAGAACACCAAUUGCGACGGCAGCUUACUACAUAUAAAUUGACGCUGAGGCACGAAAGCGUGGGGAUCAAACA
rnacentral:rRNA from 1 species